rnacentral:lncRNA from 1 species
GUGGUUUUUUUUUUUUAAGUUAGAUGAGUAGUUUGGGUUUUUUGAGGGUGGCCCACUGUUUUCUUCAAAAUUUAUCAGAAAGGAAAUUUAAGUAAAGGAAGAAUAAGCAAAGGUAAACAGAGAGGAAGGAAAAGUAAUUCUGCCAGAAAAGAUGACCCAUUUUAUUGGGUAAGAUUUCACCCAGAACAAAAGAAAAAGACAUUGUAGGGGUAGGUCCAAAGUGGUAAAGACUCACACUUUGUAUAUUUCCAGACUGUAAUUGUGGGUAUCAACUCCCCACAGACUAACAUUGAGAUCAUCAGGCCUCUAACUGCAGGCACCAAAGUUGUUUUUGAUAGCAGCGGGAGACAGACAAAUUCCAAGGCAAACAGUGAUGGGUCCCCGGUGAAACCUGACCUUCAAGCCAACGACAGCCUGAAGCGUGAAAACCAAGCUGCCAUUUCCAGGUCACGAAAAUGCUCCAAAAAUAAGUUUGAAGCAGGAGCAAAACGGAAGGAAGCAAAAAAGCAGCUUUGACAACAAGAUGAUUAUGUGAACAGGAUGCAGUUCAGUGACAUCUCCACUGCUAUUUGCCACAGCUCUACAAACAGACUCCUGACCUCUGGUAACCUACAAACUUCAGUCCAGUUUGUGUGCCAUUGCCAGAUCUGUCUCUGUAAAUCACCAUUUAUUUUAAAAACUUGUUCCAGGCCGAGAGUGGUGGCUCACACCUGUAAUCCCAGCACUUUGGGAGGCCAAGGCAGGCAGAUCACCUGAGGUCGGGAGUUCGAGACCAGCCUGACCAACAUGGAGAAACCCCGUCUCUACUAAAAAUACAAAAUUAGCCAAGCGUGGUGGUGUAUGCCUGUAAUCCCAGCUACUCAGGAGGCUGAGGCAGGAGAAUCGCUUGAACUUGGGAAGCAGAGGUUGCAGUGAGCCAAGAUCAUGCCAUUGUACUCCAGCCUGGGCAAGAGCGAGACUGUCUCAAAAAAUAAAUAAAUAAAUAAUAAAUUUAAAAA